UAGGGAAUCUUCCACAAUGGACGCAAGUCUGAUGGAGCAACGCCGCGUGAGUGAAGAAGGGUUUCGGCUCGUAAAGCUCUGUUGUUAAAGAAGAACGUGGGUAAGAGUAACUGUUUACCCAGUGACGGUAUUUAACCAGAAAGUCACGGCUAACUACGUACCAG
rnacentral:rRNA from 1 species